rnacentral:rRNA from 1 species
GACGAACGCUGGCGGCGUGCUUAACACAUGCAAGUCGAACGAAGUGGCGAAAGGGUGAGUAAUACGUGGGUAACCUGCCCUCAUUUAUGGGAUAAGCCUUGGAAACGGGGUACAAUAACGACUAAAGGGGGUUGGGCCAGCGGCCUAUCAGCUUGUUGGGGGGGUGAUGGCCUAACAAGGCGGUGCCGGGUAGGCGGCCUGGGAGGGUGACCGGCCACAGUGGGACUGUGAUGCGGCCCAGACUCCUACGGGGGGCGGCAGUGGGGGAUAUGGCACAAUGGGCGACAGCCUGAUGCAGCGUGUCCGAGGAAGGGGUGAAGGCUUUCGAGUUGUAAACCUCUUUAGCUAUCUAACGGGUAGGUGGAGAAGAAGCGCCGGCUAACUACGUGCCAGCAGCCGCGGUAAUAC